AGUGUUGUUGGGUAGGGGAGCGUUCUGUAAGCCUGCGAAGGUGUACUGUGAGGUAUGCUGGAGGUAUCAGAAGUGCGAAUGCUGACAUAAGUAACGAUAAUGCGGGUGAAAAACCCGCACGCCGGAAGACCAAGGGUUCCUGUCCAACGUUAAUCGGGGCAGGGUGAGUCGACCCCUAAGGCGAGGCUGAAAAGCGUAGUCGAUGGGAAACGGGUUAAUAUUCCCGUACUGGUGGUAACUGCGAUGGGGGAACGGAGAAGGCUAGGUUGUCCGGGCGACGGUCGUCCCGGUUCAAGCAGGUAGGCAGAGUGAUUAGGCAAAUCCGGUCACUUAAUGCUGAGAUGUGAUGACGAACCACCAAGGUGGUGAAGCAAUUGAUGCCCCGCUUCCAGGAAAAGCCUCUAAGCUUCAGGUUACCAACAAUCGUACCCCAAACCGACACAGGUGGUCAGGUAGAGAAUACUCAGGCGCUUGAGAGAACUCGGGUGAAGGAACUAGGCAAAAUGGUGCCGUAACUUCGGGAGAAGGCACGCUGGCGGUAGGUAAAGUCCCUUGCGGACGGCGCUGAAGCCAGUCGAAGAUACCAGCUGGCUGCAACUGUUUAUUAAAAACACAGCACUGUGCAAACACGAAAGUGGACGUAUACGGUGUGACGCCUGCCCGGUGCUGGAAGGUUAAUUGAUGGGGUUAGCCGCAAGGCGAAGCUCCUGAUCGAAGCCCCAGUAAACGGCGGCCGUAACUAUAACGGUCCUAAGGUAGCGAAAUUCCUUGUCGGGUAAGUUCCGACCUGCACGAAUGGCGUAAUGAUGGCCAGGCUGUCUCCACCCGAGACUCAGUGAAAUUGAACUCGCUGUGAAGAUGCAGUGUACCCGCGGCAAGACGGAAAGACCCCGUGAACCUUUACUAUAGCUUGACACUGAACAUUGAGCCUUGAUGUGUAGGAUAGGUGGGAGGCUUUGAAGUGUGGACGCCAGUCUGCAUGGAGCCAACCUUGAAAUACCACCCUUUAACGUUUGAUGUUCUAACCUAGGCCCAUAAACUGGGUCGGGGACCGUGUCUGGUGGGUAGUUUGACUGGGGCGGUCUCCUCCUAAAGAGUAACGGAGGAGCACGAAGGUUGGCUAAGCAUGGUCGGACAUCAUGCGGUUAGUGCAAAGGCAUAAGCCAGCUUGACUGCGAGAGUGACGGCUCGAGCAGGUACGAAAGUAGGUCUUAGUGAUCCGGUGGUUCUGAAUGGAAGGGCCAUCGCUCAACGGAUAAAAGGUACUCCGGGGAUAACAGGCUGAUACCGCCCAAGAGUUCAUAUCGACGGCGGUGUUUGGCACCUCGAUGUCGGCUCAUCACAUCCUGGGGCUGAAGUAGGUCCCAAGGGUAUGGCUGUUCGCCAUUUAAAGUGGUACGCGAGCUGGGUUUAGAACGUCGUGAGACAGUUCGGUCCCUAUCUGCCGUGGGCGUUGGAAGAUUGAGAGGGGUUGCUCCUAGUACGAGAGGACCGGAGUGAACGCACCACUGGUGUUCGGGUUGUCAUGCCAAUGGCAUUGCCCGGUAGCUAAGUGCGGAAGAGAUAACCGCUGAAAGCAUCUAAGCGGGAAACUUGCCUCGAGAUGAGUCUUCCCUGUCGCUUUAAGCGACCUAAAGGAACGUUUAAGACUAAGACGUUGAUAGGCUGGGUGUGUAAGCGUAGCGAUACGUUGAGCUAACCAGUACUAAUGAACCGUGAGGCUUAACCUG
rnacentral:rRNA from 1 species